rnacentral:lncRNA from 1 species
UUCAUUAAUGCUUCUACACCUAGAGGUCUGGGUUCGAGUCCCAGAUACUGCAAUUUAUUAAUAAAUUUGCAGAUUAUUGGAGGCAAGUGUGCAGGAGAUCUCCAGCGAUGUACAAUUAUAGCCGUUCGCCAGGAUUCCACACAGAGAAGGAAGUGUCCAUGAAGAAAGAGGUGAAGGAGAUGAGCAUGAAGAAGGAGGUGAAGGAGGUGAGCAUGAAGGAGGUGAAGAAGGUGAAAGAGGUCGUGGAUCUAAUAAGGGUCGGAAGGAAUUGUCCGUUGUAGAAUCGUCUAUGUAACAGUUCUCAUAAUUUGUAAUAAAUAAUAAAUUCAGAGGAAAAAAAAAAUGAUUAACUGUUUUUUAAUAUUAUUAGUUCAAAGUUAUUAAAAUUUGUUAAUGAGAGAAAGUCCCACAUCGGAAGUUGGAGAAAUUAUAAGUGAUAUAUAAAGGGUUAGGGUCAAUCCACUCAUUGCCAAUUGGUUUUGAGUUGGAAGCUCAUGUUAAAGCUCAAAUCUAUCAUGGUAUCAGAGCCACCCGAUCGUUGGGCCACCCUGUGGAUGUUGUUCCCACAUAUGCCCACGCUUCAGAUGUUCAUGCCUGAGCGUGAGGGAGGGUGUUAUUGAAGUCCCAUAUCGGGCUACCCCGUGGAUGUUGUUCCCACAUAUGCCCACGCUUCAGAGCCAACGAUGCCUGAGCGUGAGGGGGUGUUAAUGAGAGAAAGUCCCACAUCGGAAGUUGGAGAAAUUAUCAAGUGAUAUAUAAAGGGUUAGGGCCAAUCCACUCAUUGCCAAUUAGUUUUGAGUU